rnacentral:rRNA from 1 species
UACGGGGGGGGCAAGCGUUGUUCGGAAUUACUGGGCGUAAAGGGCUCGUAGGCGGCCAACUAAGUCAGACGUGAAAUCCCUCGGCUUAACCGGGGAACUGCGUCUGAUACUGGAUGGCUUGAAUCCGGGAGAGGGAUGCGGAAUUCCAGGUGUAGCGGUGAAAUGCGUAGAUAUCGGAAGGAACAUCAGUGGCGAAAGCGACUUCCUGGACCAAUACUGACGCUCAUGUGCGAAAGCGUGGGGAGCAAACAGG